ACGUCAAAAACGCGCGAAAGUGUUUUGUUUUUUCUGUUGUUUGUUUUGUGUCCAAUCGUGCUACAAGAAAAUCCAGAAGGUUCACCGUAUUUCGUUCCGAGUAUGUAUGCGGAUUCGAUGAUCAACACUGAUGAUGUCAGUCUCCCCACCUGCAGCUGCGGCUCAACGUUCUGUAUGUGACUCAACAAGAGUAAAUAAACGUUGGAAAAGAGUACCGAGUCCUUCCAGCUGUUGCAUCGGUGGUUCCGUGUCAAUGAUAUUUGGAUCUCGAUGUUCUAGGAUCACCAGUAAUCAAGCGAAAAAGAUUAACAUGUUCGAACUGAAUGCAGUGUUGGGGAAACGGCCGGAUCUAUACCCAACGGCAGUUGAUCGUUCGCGAAUAAAGAAAGCUUUCAAGAUCCACCGGGUCAUGACGUUGAGGCAACAAGUUCGGGGAAUAUUACCUUCCGACCUUCGGCAGUUGUGCGAAUCGUCAACCAAAAACGAUGGAAAAGUUCAAAGUUCUAUUCAAUGAGGUUCGAUCUCUUUUUGCAGACAUUCGUUUUAUAAGACUUCAAAAUCGAAUCAAAAGAAAUUAUGGAAAAAUCACAACUUGGAAAAGCAGCAGCAAGGAACAAAGCUGGGCAUCAUCACCAUCGAUCUAACGUUAUACCAUUCGCCCGUUAUAAGUUAUUAUCUAAUCCCAAGAAGCUCGAUUUAUGUUGGAUUGGUAGCAACUGAACCAAGGCUAAUUAAGAAUCCUAUAGGAUUUUUAAACUGUGUUUUAACUUUUUAGGAGAGCGCGAGUUUGCUAUGACGACUUUUUCGUAAUUUUCAAAGUAACUUAGA